CCUACGGGGGGCAGCAGUGAGGAAUAUUGGUCAAUGGGCGAGAGUCUGAACCAGCCAAGUAGCGUGAGGGAUGAAUGCCCUAUGGGUUGUAAACUUCUUUUAUACAGGAAUAACACGAGGCACGUGUGACUUUUUGCAUGUACUUUAUGAAUCAGGAUCGGCUAACUCCGUGCCAGCAGCCGCGGUAAUACGGAGGAUGCGAGCGUUUUCCGGAUUUAUGGGGUUUAAAGGGUGCGUAGGCGGAUUUUUAAGUCAGCGGUAAAAUGGCCGGGCUCAACCCGGGCCGGCAGUUGAAACUGGGGAUCUUGAGUGGGCAAGAGGUAUGCGGAAUUCGUGGUGUAGCGGUGAAAUGCAUAGAUAUCACGCAGAACUCCGAUUGCGAAGGCAGCAUACCGGCGCCCGACUGACGCUGAGGCACGAAAGCGUGGGGAUCGAACAGGAUUAGAUACCCGAGUAGUG
rnacentral:rRNA from 1 species